UUUCCGUAGGUGAACCUGCGGAAGGAUCAUUCAUAAUAAAGUGUUUUAUGGCACUUUUUAAAAAUCCAUAUCCACCUUGUGUGCAAUGUUAGAUCUCGUCAAUCUUGGCGAGAUUUUUAUACAUCAACUCAUUCUUUAACUAAUUUGUCUGAAAAAUAUUAUGAAUACUUAAUUCAAAAUACAACUUUCAACAACGGAUCUCUUGGCUCUCGCAUCGAUGAAGAACGUAGC
rnacentral:misc_RNA from 1 species